rnacentral:rRNA from 1 species
GACGAACGCUGGCGGCGUGCCUAAUACAUGCAAGUCGAACGAGAGCGACCGGUGCUUGCACUGGUCAAUCUAGUGGCGAACGGGUGAGUAACACGUGGGUAACCUGCCCAUCAGAGGGGGAUAACAUCCGGAAACGGAUGCUAAAGCCGCAUAGGUCUUCGAGCCGCAUGGCUUGAAGAGGAAAAGAGGCGCAAGCUUCUGCUGAUGGAUGGACCCGCGGUGCAUUAGCUAGUUGGUGAGGUAACGGCUCACCAAGGCCGUGAUGCAUAGCCGACCUGAGAGGGUGAUCGGCCACAUUGGGACUGAGACACGGCCCAAACUCCUACGGGAGGCAGCAGUAGGGAAUCUUCCGCAAUGGAUGCAAGUCUGACGGAGCAACGCCGCGUGAGUGAAGAAGGUUUUCGGAUCGUAAAACUCUGUUGUUAGAGAAGAACAAGUGCUAGAGUAACUGUUAGCGCCUUGACGGUAUCUAACCAGAAAGCCACGGCUAACUACGUG